ACAGAGGGUGCAAGCGUUAAUCGGAAUUACUGGGCGUAAAGGGUGUGUAGGUUGCAAAAUAAGUUAGGUGUGAAAUCCUUAGGCUUAACCUAAGAAUUGCGCUUAAUACUGUUUAGCUAGAGUACUAGAGAGGGUAGUGGAAUUUCCAGUGUAGCGGUGAAAUGCGUAGAUAUUACAAGGAACAUCAGGGGCGAAGGCAACUAACAGGAUAGAUACUGACACUGAGACACGAGAGCGUCGGUAGCACACAG
rnacentral:rRNA from 1 species